rnacentral:rRNA from 1 species
AAGGUAGCAUAAUCAUUUGCCUCUUAAUUGGUGGCUAGUAUGAAUGGACACACGCAAGCGCCCCUGUCUCGUUAAUAUAAAUAAAAGUUAACAUUUAGGUGAAGAGGCCUAAAUACAAUAAAAAGACAAAAAGACCCUAUGGAGCUUGAUUUAACCCCCUUACUUACCUCUAACACACAACCCCCCCAAGGCAAAUAAAUUUAGUUGGGGCGACUUGGGAAAACCAUAAAUCUUCUCAAAAAAAAAGAAAAUAACUCUACCACGAUCCGCUACGCGAAUAUAGACCCAGCUACCCUAGGGAUAACAGGCUAAUUCUUCCCGAGAGCCCAAAUUAACGGAAGAGAUUGGCACCUCGAUGUUGGCUUAGGGUACCUACAAGAUGCAGAAGUCUUGAAAGUGGGUUUGUUCAACCCUUAAAACCCUACGUGAUC